rnacentral:rRNA from 1 species
UACGUAGGUGGCGAGCGUUGUCCGGAAUUAUUGGGCGUAAAGCGCGCGCAGGCGGGAUAUUAAGUCUGCUCUAAAAGUGCGGGGCUCAACUCCGUAGCGGGGUAGAAACUGAUAUUCUUGAGUGCCGGAGAGGAAAGCGGAAUUCCCAGUGUAGCGGUGAAAUGCGUAGAUAUUGGGAGGAACACCAGUGGCGAAGGCGGCUUUCUGGACGGUGUCUGACGCUGAGGCGCGAAAGCCAGGGGAGCGAACGGGAUUAGAUACCCCGGUAGUCCUGGCCGUAAACGAUGGGUACUAGGUGUAGGGGGUAUCGACCCCCCCUGUGCCGGAGUUAACGCAAUAAGUACCCCGCCUGGGGAGUACGGCCGCAAGGUUGAA